rnacentral:lncRNA from 1 species
AUUCAUGAAUUAGAGCCAGAGGAGUGUAUGCGAAAAAUGAUUUGCAGUUUAGCAGCUUCGAAUAAACAGGAUAAUCCCAUUUUGUUUGCCUUUGGGAAUAAUUUGGAAGAAUUAUCAAUCGAUAAGGAUGCCUUUCAAAUUGGAUUUGACUACAAAACUGCUGCCAAGGUUGGAAGUUAUGUCAAGGAUAUUAGGAAAUGUGAAAUUAGAUACAAAUGUUCCAUUGGCAUAAAUCAACUUUUGGAUAUUGCCAAUCUUUAAGUAUCCCUAACUCUAGUUUAGCAUUUCUUAUAAAAUUAUCCUUAAUACUCAUUUAAACUUGUUCCUUAAAAUGUUAUUAACUCAGAUCCUUGUUAUAAAAUAUAAAUAUGGUUCAUUGACAAUAUAAUUUUUUUUUUUAAAUUGUGCAAUAAUAUAAUUACAUGCAAAUAUGAAAUUAAACCAAUUUGAUUGUCUAACGAAAUAUACUUACAGUUCCCUUCA